rnacentral:rRNA from 1 species
UACGUAGGGUGCAGGCGUUAAUCGGAAUUACUGGGCGUAAAGCGUGCGCAGGCGGUCUUUUUAAGUCAGAUGUGAAAUCCCCGGGCUUAACCUGGGAACUGCGUUUGAAACUGGAAGGCUAGAGUGUGGCAGAGGGGGGUGGAAUUCCACGUGUAGCAGUGAAAUGCGUAGAUAUGUGGAGGAACACCGAUGGCGAAGGCAGCCCCCUGGGUCAACACUGACGCCUCAUGCACGAAAGCGUGGGGAGCAAACAGG